GACGAACGCUGGCGGCGUGCCUAAUACAUGCAAGUAGGACGCAGUUGCGAACGGGUGAGUAACGCGUAGGUAACUGCCUAUUAGAGGUGGAUAACUAUUGGAAACGAUAGCUAAUACCGCAUACUAGUAGAUGGACCUGCGUUGUAUUAGCUAGUAGGUAGGGUAAUGGCCUACCUAGGCGACGAUACAUAGCCGACCUGGUAGGGUGCUCGGCCACACGGGGACUGAGAAACGGCCCAGACUCCUACGGGAGGCAGCAGUAGGGAAUCUUCGGCAAUGGGGGGAACCCUGACCGGGAAACGCCGCGAGAGUGAAGAAGGUUUUCGGAUCGUAAAACUCUGUUGUUAGAGAAGCGGUAUCUAAACAGAAAGCCACGGCUAACUACGUGCCAGCAGCCGCGGUAAUUC
rnacentral:rRNA from 1 species